UAACGCGUGGAUAGCCUGCCGUAUGCAGGGGGAUAACAGUUGGAAACAGCUGCUAAUACCGCAUAAGCGCACAGUACCGCAUGGUACGGUGUGAAAAGAUUUAUCGGCAUACGAUGGAUCCGCGUCCGAUUAGCCAGUUGGCGGGGUAACGGCCCACCAAAGCGACGAUCGGUAGCCGGCCUGAGAGGGCGGACGGCCACNUUGGGACUGAGACACGGCCCAAACUCCUACGGGAGGCAGCAGUGGGGAAUAUUGCACAAUGGGGGAAACCCUGAUGCAGCGACGCCGCGUGAGUGAAGAAGUAUCUCGGUAUGUAAAGCUCUAUCAGCAGGGAAGAAAAUGACGGUACCUGACUAAGAAGCCCCGGCUAACUACGUGCCAGCAGCCGCGGUAAUACGUAGGGGGCAAGCGUUAUCCGGAUUUACUGGGUGUAAAGGGAGCGUAGACGGCAGCGCAAGUCUGGAGUGAAAUGCCGGGGCUCAACCCCGGAACUGCUUUGGAAACUGUGCAGCUCGAGUGCAGGAGAGGUAAGCGGAAUUCCUAGUGUAGCGGUGAAAUGCGUAGAUAUUAGGAGGAACACCAGUGGCGAAGGCGGCUUACUGGACUGUAACUGACGUUGAGGCUCGAAAGCGUGGGGAGCAAACAGGAUUAGAUACCCUGGUAGU
rnacentral:rRNA from 1 species